UACGUAGGGUGCAAGCGUUGCCCGGAAUUAUUGGGCGUAAAGAGCUCGUAGGCGGUCUGUCGCGUCUGCUGUGAAAACUCGGGGCUUAACCCCGGGCCUGCAGUGGGUACGGGCAGACUAGAGUGCGGUAGGGGAGACUGGAAUUCCUGGUGUAGCGGUGAAAUGCGCAGAUAUCAGGAGGAACACCGGUGGCGAAGGCGGGUCUCUGGGCCGUAACUGACGCUGAGGAGCGAAAGCAUGGGGAGCGAACAGG
rnacentral:rRNA from 1 species